GGAAUAUUGCACAAUGGGCGAAAGCCUGAUGCAGCAACGCCGCGUGAGGGAUGAAGGUCUUCGGAUUGUAAACCUCUUUUACAGGGGACGAGUAAGGACGGUACCCUGUGAAUAAGCAACGGCUAACUACGUGCCAGCAGCCGCGGUAAUACGUAGGUUGCGAGCGUUAUUCGGAUUUACUGGGCGUAAAGAGCACCGAGGUGGCUUCUUAAGUUGGAUGUAAAAUCUCCUGGCUUAACUGGGAGGCGCCAUUCAAAACUGAGGAGCUUGAGGUCAGCAGGGGAAGGUGGAAUUCCCGGUGUAGUGGUGGAAUGCGUAGAGAUCGGGAGGAACACCAGUGGCGAAAGCGACCUUCUGGGCUGCACCUGACACUCUAGUGCGAAAGCGUGGGGAGCAAACA
rnacentral:rRNA from 1 species